rnacentral:rRNA from 1 species
UACGUAGGGGGCAAGCGUUGUCCGGAUUCAUUGGGCGUAAAGAGCGUGUAGGCGGCCAGGUAGGUCGGUUGUGAAAACUGGAGGCUCAACCUUCAGAGGUCGACCGAAACCAUCUGGCUAGAGUCCGGGAGAGGAGAGUGGAAUUCCUGGUGUAGCGGUGAAAUGCGUAGAUAUCAGGAGGAACACCGGUGGCGAAGGCGAACAUCUGGCCCGAUACUGACGCUGAAGCGCGAAAGCUAGGGGAGCGAACGGG